rnacentral:rRNA from 1 species
GACGAACCGUGCGAACGUUAUUCGGAAUCACUGGGCUUAAAGCGCGUGUAGGCGGGUCGGCACGUCGGUCGCUGAAAUCCCCCGGCUCAACCGGGGAAGGGGCGCCGAUACGGCCGGCCUCGAGGGACGUAGGGGGGGCUGGAACUUCCGGUGGAGCGGUGAAAUGCGUUGAGAUCGGAAGGAACGCCCGUGGCGAAAGCGAGCCCCUGGACGUCUACUGACGCUGAGACGCGAAAGCGUGGGGAGCAAACAGG